CUCGCAGCUGUAGUCGUGGAUGUUGUAUGUCGCGGGUACCAAUGAAAUAAGUGUAGGAAGUAGAAUUGUGAAAAAGAACAUAUAUACACGUAUAUAUAAUAUAUAUCAAAUUCUCUUGGUGUUUCUCGCGGAUAUAAUAACGAAAAAAGUAAGAAUCAUAAAAUCGUGAUAUCUUCCACUUCAUUUUAUCUUUAUCUUUCACGCUUUAUUUUCUAUCUUUUUUUAUUUUUUACGUAAGAAGUACCGUGACGAUCAAUCAAAAAAAGAGAGAGAGAGAGGGAGAGAGAGAGAGAGAGAAAGAGAGACAAAAGAAAGAAGUGGAUAAUCGAUCGGAGUGCGCGAGUGUGAUAGGAAUGUGAAAUUUUUCUCUUUUUCUUUUUUACUACGUGUGCAAUUUCGUCCUAAUUCAGUUUUUUCUCUUUCUGUGGAUAUAAUUAUCAAAGAUUAUUAUCUUCCAAGUGUGCAUCUUCGUAGACGAAGAGAAACCGAAUUUCUUUUGAAAAGAUUACUCCAAGAAAGGUGUGUGCAUGUGUGGAUUAUUACGGAAGAGAGAGGGAAAAUAAGUUUCGGAAUAUACCGCUACAUAAAGGAAAGAAGCAUAUUCGUGAUCAGCCAAGAUCAGCCACGACGACGUCACGAAGAACAACGUUGUCAUCAAUACCGCAUCAAAGUCAGCAGGAGACUUAACGAAUAUAAUAUUUUCGCACUGUUGGCAAGACGGCCGAUCGUGCGGUAGUACCACUCUCGACUAUCCCGUGGUCGCUACGAGCGAGAACAGCCCGAAGAUUUUUCCACCGAGGUCCAAAAUGCACAUCGAGGUGCAGGUGGCGCUCAAUUUCGUGAUAUCGUAUCUCUAUAAUAAGUUACCACGUAGGCGGGUCAAUAUCUUCGGCGAGGAGCUCGAAAAGGCUUUGAAGGAUAAGUUCAAAGGUCACUGGUAUCCGGAGAAACCAUUCAAGGGUUCUGCCUUUAGAUGCCUAAAAACCGGCGAUCCCGUGGAUCCUGUCCUAGAACGGGCCGCGAAAGAAAGCGGUGUGCCGAUUCAAGAUAUCCUGGAGAAUUUACCGGCCGAGUUAGCCGUUUGGGUGGACCCUGGUGAGGUCAGCUAUCGAAUAGGCGAAAUGAACGCCGUAAAGAUCCUCUACUCUGAAACCGGAGAUCCCCACGAUGAGAGUUCGGCCGAUCGAGAAGUUACCAAGACAUUCAAUCCAGAGGCUCAAUGCUUCAGACCGAUCGAAGCCGUCGGUACGUCCUUGGGUGGUCUCAGUUUAAGCCCCAAAUCCACUUCGCCCUUUCCGAAUUCUUUAGCCAGUAGCAGCAGCAGCAGCAAUGGUUCCUCCAACAAUCAACAGAACAAUCACGGAUCCGGUUCUUCCUCGGCACCCUCACCUACGCCGAUCGGUAACUCAUUCAAGGGUUCGCCCAGUCCCGUACCAAACUUCAUACCGCGUACCACAGCACCGCUCACCUUCACGACCGCCACCUUUGCUCAAACCAAAUUCGGCAGCACCAAACUGAAGACAAGCAGCAAACGAGCAAACAGGAUGUCGCCUACCGAGUUUUCGAAUUAUAUAAAGCAGCGUGCGAUGCAACAACAAAUUCAUCAUCAUCAUCAUCAUCAUCAGCAGCACCAACAGCAGCAACAACAACAGCAGCAACAACAACAACAACAACAGCAACAGGCGCAACAGGCACAGCAACAGCAGGGUCAACAGCAAGGCAGCACCGGGCUACCGGUGUCACAGAAUUCACCGAGCAAUCGCAGCCUAUCGCCGGGUAGCAUAGUCGGCACUGGUGGAACUGCGACUCAACAGCACACGGAUCCGAGUGCAUAUUUCUUUCAGCACGGUCCAACGGCGGCUGCUGCUGCCGCAUAUCAUCCUCAAUUUUCUCAUCGCAACAUCUUCGAUUCAUCGAGCCACGGUGGUUAUCUUCCAAACGACCUUUACGCCGGUGCCGCUAAGUUCCCAUCGUCUUACCUAGACCCCGGUACGAUCGCCGGGCAUCAGUUUUACGGUGGUAGCGUGAACGGUACUGGCGGUAGCAACGGCACAAGCAGCAACGGCAUCGUUGCAGCUGGCAACGGUGGUAAUGCACAAAACGCCACGAAUCUUGGACCUGUUGGCUCAGCAACAACACCCAGUGCUGCCAGCGUAAAUGCAGCAACGGCUCAACAACAGCCCGACAAAAAUGCUCUCGUCGAGGGCUUGAAUAAUUUUGGACUCGGCUCGGUGGCACCCUAUCCUGCCAGCCAAUAUCAGCAUCUCCUCGUAGCCAAUUAAUAUCCUGCGCGUUUACAUACUGCUCGGCAAGUUGCCACGCGCCUAACAAUACGCUCCGCAACGCGACGCUCCUCCUCAACUUCCCCAUCGCCAGGACGACUUUCAACAAGGGACAGAUAUACACACAUGUCACGAAGCAAAGAGAUGAUACACGCAUAAAGCUACACACAAGGACACACAACUACCUCGAAAACGAAGCUUACCGAGAGCUGAGCAUCAUGAUCCAUGAAUUCCAUGAUUACGUAUGCGUGUGCACAAACAUGUUCCAACAUCGCACGCGAUAUACACGGAAGAUGAAGCGACGAGAUGCUAUUCUUUGGAUACGUUUUAGAAGAAGAAGAAGAAGAAAAAGAAGAAAACAGCGAUAACUGACGGUCGACAGCUAAACGAACGUUCGAGGAUGAUGGUCCGAUGGUGAACACACAUAUACGUAAAAAUACAUACAUGCAUACUUACUUACGGCACGUAUUACACGUACACACACAUACAUAUUACCAAGACGUAAUAAUUUAUUUUUUCACUGGUAUAGUCGAAGAAUUGAUAAUGAAUAUAACUGUAGAGCCUAUGUAUUAUAUUCAAGAUGCACUCACUUUACGGGUUCUCGCGAAACGGUAGGAAGUAUCUGUCAAUUUCUGUCGAGCUCGACGACGGAUAUUAUUAAUGGGGAAAUAGAUACAAGAAGUGCUUAAAAACGAGUGGUAUAGAGAGAGGGGGGAGCGAGAGAAAGAGAGAGAGGAGCAAAGAGAGAAGAAAAAAUCUGAAGAUCGCCGAGCGAAAUCCAAAAAAGAGAAAAAGUGAAUUUCUCUCUUUCUCGUGGGUAACACAGAUAAAAAAGAAAAAAAGAAAGAGAGCGCAUGCAGUUUCAUACCGUUCGGAAAAUUCGUCUUCGGUACGAUUUUACAUUUUAUUUUUAUAAUAAAUGCAGUAGAACGUAGAAAAGAUGAUGUGAGAGAGAGUGAAAAAGUAAAAGAAGAAGAAUUGGACGAAGAUGAUUGGCGUUGUACUCGUAAGGAUUAGCAUACAAACGAUGAAAUCAUAUUUGUCGAUCUUCAAAUUUAUCGAUCCUAUACACUAUAUAGAAUCGAAAGGAAGAUUUGAUAUGUGACACGUCGUCUCUGUACCAUCCUGAAUAUUAGAAAAUUAGGUUAAAAGGCCGCGAUCAUUGACUUACAAUGUUCUAUGCGAGCUCGCGAUUUUGUCCGAUAGACGUUUAAAUGAAAGAGAGAGAUUCAUCUGUUUUCAAUUUUGGGGAAAAGGCACGUGUCUAUUCGAAUUUUUGUGAUAAAUCUGAAAUUAAAGAAAGAAAAAUCAGAAGGAAGAAGAAAAACUAAAAUAGAAUAAACUUUUUUCGAUUUCGAACAAAUGAGAUUUUUUCAGGGGAUCUUUCUUUAUCUUCUUCGAUCGAACCUCUCUUGCGAGCUCUCGUAAAAAAAAAAGAAAAACGGGGAAAAAUAAUCGAAAGAAAUACAAAACAAAAGGGGAGGGGAAAAAACAGAAAAAAUAUGACUCGACAGUAACGACGGCAGCGGCGGCGACAAUGAGAAAAAGUUUGAUAGACGAAAGAAAAGGAGGAAGUGCUAUGAGCCGCGGGCUGGGAUAUAUUAGGUGCUAAAAGUAUUAAAAACAAGCAAACAAAGUAUUUAACUUAUCGUAAAUAUGACAAAAUUGUAAGGAUGCGCGCAUCCGGAGACCGUCGACAGGCCCGGCAACAAUUGGAUAAUAGAAAAAUGAAAAAAAGAUAGAUGGAGAAAGAAAGAGAGAGAGAGAGAUUUUUAGAAACGAGGGAAAAGUGCAACGAAAGAGAAAAUUUGAAACUUCUCGUUUGUGUGAGUUUGUAUCUCUCUCUAGUAACACUCGUACUUACAUACGUAUUAUGCAAAGAAGAAAGGAGGAGAAGAGAAGAAAAAAGAAGAAAAGGAUACAAAAAUAAGUACGAAAAAAUGUGUGUAUAAAUGUAUAUCAUUUACAAAACAUGUCAACGUUUAUAACUCAAAUGCUCGACAGCUCUCUCGCCUUUUCUUCGUUGAUUUUCUUCUAUUUUUAAAAUUGUUUGCCAACGAAAAAAAUAGAAGAAAACAAAAAAAGAAAAAAAAAUGGCGAUAGCUCGGCGUCGUUCCUUUGCAUACUUCCUCUGCGAGCGAAUAAAUUUUACUUGAGAAUCUCUUAGCUUAUCUCGACGAUUUCAAAUGUACGCGAAGGGACAUCGUCAUGGGUCAUCGUCGUCGUCGUUGUUGUGUUGUCGUUGAGUCACGGGAAAAAAUAAUCGUAUUUAGAUUGACUUUGAAACGAACGAGGAUCCUAUAAUGAUAUAUCCUCCGCGAUUAGUAUAAAAUAGUCCCUAUAAAAUGUGUAUAUGCACGGGCCACUCGGCAGCCGUCCUCUCCGGAUGCACGGGGCGUGUUGAAAUGGGGGUUUAUAAUAUAUGAUUUUUUAACUACGGAAACCUAUACUAGUAAAAUUAAUAAAAAGGGUAGAAGUGUUAAAUAAAAAGAAAAAGAAACGUAUAAGGAUGAUACGAAGACAAGAAAAGAAAUAAAUAAAUACGAAAAUAAAUGAAAAGAGAAAAAGAGGGAGAAGGAGAGAAAGAGAAGCACGACAGUACCCUGUAGUAAUAUCUAAACUUAAUUAUAACUAUUAACGAUACGUACGACUGUGGUAGCUAUGCUAGUACCUGCUAUUAUUAACAAGAGAAAAGAUGAUGUAGUGGUGUAAGAUGGAUUGAUUGGGAAAGUGAGCGAGAGAGAGAGAGAGAGAGAGAGAGAGAGAGAGAGAGAGAGAGAGAGAAAGAAAGAAAGAAAGAGACAGACAAACAGAGAAACACAGAAAGAAUGAAAGAAAAAGAAAAGUACUAAGAAGGCCUUAGAAGCAUUGAGAUAGAAGAGAGGAAAAAAAAGAAAAAAGGUGAGGCUGCAAACUGAGUCGCCAUAUUCUCUAACCGUGGCAAAAAACCAUCUUGCGGCAACCAGAAAACGCUCGGGCAGUCUAGUGCUUGCGCUUUUUAUACGUCAGGGAAUAGAAACGAAAGAGAAAAAGAAAGAUAAAGAGAAAAAAUGGGAUUUGCAAAUAGCAAAGAGUAAUUCGAACCUUCUCAAUCUGCAAUACGAAAUUUGCACGAGGCUUUCAGAUUUUUUUCUACGAUGUAUUGUACUUAUGAUAUGAAAGAGAGAGAAACUAGAUAAAAUAAAAACGAUAACGAGGAAAGAAAGAGAAAUAGAUGGAGAAUCGUUCGUGAUCGUUUUGUCUAUCAUUUCUUUCACAUGGCCUCCGCGUUUCGUAUUGAAUGAUGAGAAAGUGAGAAGGAGAGAGUGAAAGUGAGAAUGAGAGUGUGAGUGAGAGAGAGAGAGAGAGAGACUGUAUAUUGUGUUGUGUGUACGUAAAAGAGAGAGAGAGAGAGAGAGAGAGAGAGAGAGAGAGAGAGAGAGAUCGGAUGUUUCUGUCGUAAAAUUGUAAAAAGAAUGGAAGAUGCGAGAAUGAGGGCAAAGUGUGAAGCAAAACGUUGCAAUAAGUAUGCGAAUCAAAUGGAUCUCUACUCGAAACGAGAGGCUCAGCUCAGCGAAGAAUCAAACAUGAUGUAUACUCUUUAAAAUAAAAAAAAGAGAGAAAAAGGGAAGGGGGAGAAAGACGAAACGACGAAGGAGAGAAAAAGAGAAAAAUAUAGAAAAAAUAAACAAAGAAUGAAUCAAGUAAAAAAACCGGUCAAGAAGAGUUUUGGUCGCUAUGGAUUUUACUUAAAACUAUUAAACGAUAUAUAGAAUGCAUACACGGGAAAGAGUACAUGAAAGAGGAAGCAUAUAGUAUUAUACAUUUAAAAUACAAUUAAAGUUAACUCUGUAAGCAAGAAAAAAGUACGCAUAGUUUUCAAUACUCUGUAAUCGAUGUACUUGUUUAGAAAAAGAAAAAAAAAGAAUAAUGGAAAGAAAGAGAAAAUUUAUGAUAUACAUACAACAUGGCCACAUAAAUUACAUAAAGUACAUUUCAACUGAAAUAAUAAGGAAACAAUAUAAAGAUGCUAAACCGAAAUACGCAUAAUACGAGAGUAAAAUAGAGAGAAAAGGAAGAGAGAGAGAGAGAGAGAGAAAGAGAGAGAGAGAGAGAGAGAGAGAGAGAGAGAGUUAUGUAAGAAAGAAAGAGAGAAAGAGAGAUCAACAAAAUAAUCUGUAUUAAAAUGUCAUGUGUCUAUAACUAAUAGCCAUCGGUAUUGUCUCUUACAUAAAUGGUAAACAAAUAACCGUGGUAAUGUCGUAUAAUGUCAUAUAGUGAUAAUCGGACACUGCAAUACACCAUAUAUGAUAUAUAUAUACACAUAUACAUACACAUAUACAUACAUAUAUAUAUAUAUAUUCUUACAAUUAGAAUGAAAGGAAAAGAAGGAGAGAAAUGAAACGCAUAUUGCUAACGUAACAAAAAUUGGAACACACUGAAAGCAUACUAACAUACAUAACACAUAUAUACCUAUCUAUUUACCUACCUACCUAUCUAACUUUACAACCUACUGUUGUAUAUGAAGAAAAAAUAACUGAGAAGAGUGACGAGAGUAUGCGAAGUCGAAAUAUAGAAAAAGAAGGGCGGAGGCAGAGAAAAGUCUUGAUUUACGAAGGACAACAUCUGAAAUCGUCUUUUACUGGAUUAUCGACCUUCCAUUACGUUGGCUUCGUGUCAGUAAAGAAAAAUUUAAAAAAUAGAAGGUCGAUUAAAAACUCCCUUGCGUUUUUAAAACGAUUAAAAACGACUCUCGCCUACUUGGCGAAAACCACUCUUCCUUUAUCCUUUUUUUUUGUUAUUUUUUUCUGACAAACAGCGAUUUGCAUUUUUCUAAACCUAACUUACAUCAUGAGAAUAUUACUUAUGAAUAGAAAAGAAUUAAUAAAAAGAGAGAAAAUGGCCGUAGACGUCUCCACACACGCGCACGUGCGCAAGAAGAUAUACGUAUAUGCAAUGCGAGGUAUUCAUUAUUGGGAAUUAUAUAAUUUUUUUAUUUAUAAAAAUUAGGAGGAAAUAAGAAUUGCAAUAGAUUUUUUAUGAAACGUGUUUUCUUUUCUUACUAGAUGUCAAAAAAAAGUAUAUUUUUUCAAAGGAUGUAAUAAUAAUAAAGUUUUUCUUUUAUAUAUAUCUGUAUAUAUAAAUUAUAGGACAUGCCGAUGUGAAUUUAAUUCGAUUACUAAACGCUAAAAAUAGAUACUGAUUUUUCAAUCAAAUAAGAUAUUUUUUAAAAGUCAACAAUAAAUAAUAUUUAGUUUAUAAUAUCUCGUAAAAUGAGAGACGUUAUAAUAAUUUUUUAUACUUAUCGUAUUUCUUCUUAAACAUCAAUCAUACAAAUUUGAUCCGAAAGACAUUGUUCUAAUUUCAAGAAUGAUAAAUUAAACUUUCCCGGCUAAAAAUCAGUUUCAAACGUUUUUACCUUAAACAUAUACGUAUUAUAUUCUAAAGCACACUUUCAAGUCACGAGAAGAAGCAAAAAGCAAAAAAAGAAAAAGAAAAAAGUAAACUAUAUAGAUUAUUCUAUCAAAUAAGGAAUUAACGAGAGAGAGAGAGAGAGAGAGAGAGAGAGAGAGAGAGAGAGAAAGAGAGAGAGAAAGAGAGAGAGAGAGGAUGAUAAUUAGAUUUGUAAUUGAUUAUAUAUAUACAUACAUAUACAUAUAUAUAUAUUUUUCAAUACUUUAAUUACUUGCUGAAUGUAAACUAUAUACAUAUUAUUAUACAUAUAUAUAUAUAUUACACAAAACACAUUUGAAAAAGAAAAUUAAUAGUAAUAAGCUGAGUAGAGCCGAAAAUAUUGGCUUUUUGAAGACACAGAAAGUGGAGAGAGAGAGAGAGAGGGAUCCCUAGUCACUUCUUUUCACUGACAAAAGCAAGCGUUAGAAAGCAAAAAUUGAAAUAAAACAAAUGAUCACCAUCCGUCGUUUGUUGAUAGAAAGAAUAAAUAAACGUGUUCUAGUCGGUUGAAGAUCAGUGCCGAUUCUCUUCGACGCUUUUAAUAUGAAUGAGAAAAGAAAAACAAAGAGAAAUAGAGGGAAGAAACAAUUUUUGUACUCUAUCCAAAAUCACAUACACGCUCUCGGUGUCGAAAAAAAAACAAAUAAACUUCAUUAAUCGUAUAAGCGUGACAUAAUGAUAAUAUCCCUUAAUAAUUGCCUCUUUUUAUUAACAAAAAUAAUAGAGAAAAAGAGAGAAACACACACAAAAGCCAAGAAUCAAGAUAAACAUCAACAAAGAUAAAUAAUAAUGAAUAUCACUUGAGAAGAAAGAAAAAAGAAAAUAAAAAGAAGGUUCAAAGGAGACGAAGAAUUGCGUGGACCUCGUUAAGGAUCAAAACAGUACACAUGUAUCAUUUUUAUUAGUUUUUAAUGAAUGAACGAGACGAGAGUGAAAAAGAGAGAGAGAAAGAGUAUGUAAGAUUGUGAGUAAAAGAAGAACCUAUGUAUAUAUACAUAUAAAUAUGUAUAUAUAUAUGGUAUUUCUUGUCAUCUCAAUUAUAAUUAUUACCGUUAUAUUUUUAUUAUUAUUAUGAUUAUUAUUAUUAAUCAUUUUCUCUUUAAUUUUUUUUCUUUUUUUUUAUAUGAUGAAAAUUUUACUUUUCGUUGACUUUAGUUUUCUUUUUUUGUUCCUUUAUUUUUUAUAAGAAAUCGACACGAACUUAUAUCGUCGCUGAUUCUGUUUAUUCACCUAUGUAUUAUUAUUUGUUGCACACACGAAUUUGUAUACAUAUACAAAUAUACACUCACACAACCACGUAAAAACACAUAUACAGAGUAUACACUAUCGUUACGCGUUAACGCGCAAAUAUACAUAUAUACAUAUACAUAUUUAGACAUAUUACGUUAGCGAAUAGUGUAAUUAUAUAUAUAUAUAUAUAUCGUGUAAAAAGCCGUUAUUAUUUUCUCGCGAGUUUACGAGACAAAAAAGUUAAACUUAAGGAUUCCUAUUUCAUCUUCUUUUUUGAUAGUUCGUAAACGUUGUUUUUUUUGUAUGAUGUUUGAUAUAAUCGGUGCUCUAAUGGCGCAUCAGAAUAAUAAUAUAUUACUAUUAAAUAUUAUAAAAGUUAUAUAUAUAUAUAUAUAUAUAUAUAUAUAUAUAUAUACAUAUUAUAUAUACAUAUUAUAUAUACACAUACAAACAUACAACACAUACAUACAUAUUCCUUUGUUAAUACCAUUGUUGGUUAAUCAUCUGAAUUUAUUUCAAUUUCUUAUACGGCCUGUAUAAAAAAAAAUCUUUUUGAGAAUAGAUAUAUCAGCUAUAUUUUUUAACGUACGUAAAUAUGCUAUAUACUUUUUAUUUAGCACGCAAGCAACGUUCGUUCGUCGCUUUUAAAAGAAACGACGAAACGGUAGAUGACGAAAAUGAGCACAGGGAUUCGACAAUGACAGAAAAAAUUUUCUCGAGUGUCACGACAAAAAAACACACACAUAUACAUACACAUGUAUACACACAGGCUGCGAUCCCAAAUAUUUAACAAAAAAAAAGGAAAAGAAAAAGAAAGAAAAAAAUGGAAUAACUCGCGUGUGAUAUACUUAUCAGUUUGUAAAUUAUUUUUUGUAUUUUUAUAUAUACAUACAUAUACAUAUAAUAUAUUAUAUAUAACGUAUGCGUAUAUAUAUACAUAUGUAGAAGAAGCAAAUUCCCGCGCAUAUAGAUUGCAAACAAGUAUACAUAGCGUACACAUAACAAUAUAAGCACACAUACAUACACAUGCGCGCGCAGAAGUAUAUAUACAGAGAAGAAACGGUGUGUGUUCAUGCAUGGAGCGUCGUUUUAUUCAACAAAGAGAAAGAAAGAAAAUUUGAGAAAGUAAAAUACGACGCGUUGCAUUCUCGUGAAUGCAUCGAUUACACCAACGAUAUUUUCGAAUUAGUUGAUUGCUAAUUAAUAGCCCUUUCGUUGAUCGAGAGCAGCGCUACGCAUAAUUAGUAGCUUCGAAAACGAAUCGCAGUGUAUAUAAUAUGUAUGUAUGUAAUCGAUACAUAUAUAUGUAUAUAUAUAUAUAUAUAUAUAUAUAUAUAUAUAUAUAUAUAUUAAUAUCACCGUUUCUAUCUUUGUCAUUUCUUUUUUUAAAGAUAUGCGUAAAUAUACACUCAUACACGUACAUUCACACACAGUAAUUUUAAUUCCACACGCGAUUGCCCCCUCUUUCAGUGAUAUAUGAUAUAUUAGUUCGUUCCCUAUUAUUUGUACCUUUGUAAUUUGUAAUCUUUAAACUUGUCAAUGCUUUGUUUAUUACUAUAAUGAUGAUGAUUAUUAUUAUUAUUGUUACUAUUAUUAUUAUUAUUAUUAUUAUUAUUAUGAUUAUUAUUAUUAUUAUUAUUAUUAUUAUUAUUAUUAAUAUUAUUAUUAUUAUUAUUAUUAUUAUUAUUAUUAUUAUUAUUAUUAAUAUUAAUAUUAUCAUAAUAAUAUUAUUAUAUAUUUUAAAUAUCUAUCGAUGUUGUUUUGUUAUUGAUCAUUCAGUUGACGUGAUACACAUCAUACAUUUCUAUCAUUGUUGUUACACGCAUAAAGGACAAGUGAAUAACGAAGAGUGAAAGAGGAGAGAGAAAGAAAGAAUAGAAUAAAAGAACGAAAGAACAUGUAAAGAAGAGAAGAAAGAGAAGAGAAAACUACGCAAAAAACCUCCAUUUACGGUGAACCUUACAAUUUUAUAUCUGAAGAUUAAUUUAGCAUGCAUGUUCCUUUCCAUACAUUUUUCAAUAUAUAUUUGUUUGAUAGAUUAAAAUGUAAAAAAAAGAAUUGGGAAUCAGCACAAUUUUGAUAUAGUAAAAAAAAAGAUGAGAGAGAACAGAGAAUGAAGUAGCGUUUAGAUACCAAAUUAAAUUUCGUUUAUAUACUUUUUUCAAUAGAAAUUUUUUAUUUUUUUCAAAGAUUAAAACAAUAAAACAUGAUGGAUCGACACGUUCUUCGCAUAGUAAAACACGAUUUUGGUAUAAUAAAAAAGGGGGAAGAUGAAGUUAUGGAUCAAAAAUAGCAAUUAAAUAUAAUCCAUGCCACGUAUACGAUAUAAACGAUUCGAUGAAAGGAAAUUUUCUCUGGAUGCCAUCCUAUAAAUUUUUAACAUAUUGAGUGCCACGAGGAUGAGAUUUUGGAAUGAGGGAGUUCUGCGUUCAAAAUGUUUAAAAAAUAUAUGAGACUAAUAUAAAUAAUAUCAUAGUAAAUUCAUCUGUAUCUUUAUACUGAACAAAAAAAGAAACAUUAGAUGGACAUAUCGAUUGAAGAAAAAAAAAAAAGAAAAAAAAGAAAUUGGCUUUGGCAGCAACGCGUUAAAAAAAAUAAUCCAUCAAUCGGGUUGCUCGUCCUUACUUUUCCUUGUUCAUUUCCACUUUAAAUCAUCCUGACUUUCUCUUUCAUUCCUUUUCGUCUUCUUUUUUUUUCUCUUUUUCUCGUAAAAGACACUCGAUGAAAGAAGCUAAGUUGAUACUAGAACGUGACGCGAUCGCUAUGGUUAUUUUGCAAUUAAAUUCGUACUGUAAACAAAACAAAAAUUAGAAAAAGAAAGAAGAAUUAAAUGUGCGUACUUUGUUGAAAAUAAAUUAGGCCAGCUUGAAUGGAAACAUAAGACGCUUUUAAAUUAGCAAGCGAGGGGCCGCUGAUUCGUUUUGAAAAAAUUUGUAUCGAAAGAGAACGUUCGAUAAAUGGUCGAAUGUUAAUAUGCCAAACGAAAAAAAAGAAAUGAAUGAAAGACAAGAUAUAUCUGAGGACGUCAUUAGCAAUGGUGAAGUAAAUGGGAGGGAAAUGGAUGGAUGGAUGGAUGGAAAUCGAUAGCAAAAGCCGGUCGCUUGUGAUUGGCUAGGAUACGUUAGUAGUGAUCUUCAAUUGGAGGGCGUCCUAUUAAUUGUUGGAAUUUUUGUAGUUUACUAAGAAAUACGAUUCACGAUACGUUAUUUGUAUAUGUAUAUACGUAUACAUAUAUAAACAUAAUAUUUAUAUACAUAUAUAUAUAUAUAUAUAUA